rnacentral:RNase_P_RNA from 1 species
UUGGGUUACACAGAUGAUCGCCCCGACCAAGUCGGGGAGGAAAGUCCGAACACUUGUUGGUGUCAAAACCAAUGUCAUGAGAGCCGUUAACGACGGCCAGGAUAUAGUCCGCCUUAGGCGGACAAACCUAGGGAAAGUGCCACAGAGACAAUACUACCCCGUGAUCUCGCAAGAGAUUUUACGGGGGAAAGGUGAAAAGUGAAUAGACGUGGUCAUCUCCGAUGAACAUCGGAGCAAUCUCUGCCACUAUUCUCGGCGCGUGGUAACACGCGUUCGUGGUAAACCCUCUCUAGCGCAAGAGCAAGAUCUGCGGCAGCAAUGCCAAGGAACUGGUAGCUCGCUCGAGCUUUGAUGCAAAUCAAGGCCCAGAUAGAUGAUCAUCGAACCGGCGUAAUACCCGGGGAACAAAAUUCGGCUUAUCGUUAGCCCUGGCAU